rnacentral:rRNA from 1 species
UACAGAGGGUGCGAGCGUUAAUCGGAAUUACUGGGCGUAAAGCGUGCGUAGACGGUUAUUUAAGUCGGAUGUGAAAGCCCCGGGCUCAACCUGGGAAUUGCAUUCGAGACUGAAUAGCUAGGGUGCGGUAGAGGGAAGCGGAAUUUCCGGUGUAGCGGUGAAAUGCGCAGAUAUCAGGAGGAACACCAAUGGCGAAGGCAGCUCGCUGGGACGUGACUGACGCUGAGACGCGAAAGCGUGGGGAGCAAACAGG